ACAUUGCUCAGAUUGACUGAUGUUUUGUUUUUGCAUGUGCAUGACUUCUGGCUGUUUCUUUGUCAUGCUCUGCCAAGAUUCUUCAGGUUGCUGUCAUGUACAGGCCUGUCCAGAGAGUUUUAAAUGCACUACUUACAAAUCCACUUACGUACAGCCAUCUUCACAGGGUUCAGUCCCAAUUAGACAUCUGCAGUUUAAGCAUUUCUUUUGUGAGUUGAAAUCAAUCUAAUGUGCAAAGCAAUAUGUGGAAUUUUUAAGUAUGGUGGGGAAGUAAGUGUGUCCAUAAUCACUAAACAUAAACUAAUCAAUAAAAAGAUAGUCUUUUUAGAUUAAGAAAAUGUCUGGUCUGGGCAAGUCUUAUCAAAAGCUGGUUGGUUUAUAAUCAAAAUCAGCAGUGUUUAAGUAAAGUCACUCUCUGACAAUCACUAUUUGACAUUAAGUUCCCUGCUGGACAACGAAAACUAAACUUCCCCACGAGAUAACAAAAACUGCGCGCACACACAAAUGCGAAAUCGACCUGUCACCAACCUGCAGCUUCAGAGUGCCGUGUUGUGUGCUGCAGUGGCUAAUCCAAAAAACCUCCCACACGGCCAUCUACACAAAGUAAAUGCCUAUGUGCAUUUUUCGCACCCCACCAAAGAAAGAAGUUUUAGCAGGCACGAAAGGAAAAGGCAGUCAACUUUCCUCUCAUACACGGCCGCUAUAUUGUACAUAUUGGCUCUAAGCUGCAUUGUUUUGACUUGGCCUGAACACUCUGCUGUAAAGCUAGCACUAAUUUUACCGUCCAAAGUCAGGCUGGACUUUUUAACACCAUUGAACAAUCAAAAAUGAUUAUUCAGUAUUCCAUUCAUCAAGUUUGCAGGAAAUUAUUACUCUCCCCUU